GGAUCAAGGGAUUGGUCAUGCCUCGGUAUGCACUGGUCUUAUUGGUUCUCACCUUCUAAAGAACCAUGAUGUCAUUCAUUUGAUGUUAUGGGGAAUUAGGACUGUUACCUUGAAAAAAUUAGAGUGUUUAAAGCAAGCUUACGCUUGAAUACAUUAGCAUGGAAUAAUGAAAUAGGACAUCAGAUUCUAUUUUGUUGGUUUCUAGGAUCGAUGUA
rnacentral:rRNA from 1 species